rnacentral:rRNA from 1 species
GCUAACUGCGGGGCAGCGGCGAGGGGAAGUGGAAAGGGGCAAGAGGUAAUCGGAAUUACUGGUCGUAAAGCGUGGGUAGGUGGUUGUUUAAGGCGGCUGUGAAAGCCCUGGGCUCAACCUGGGAAUGGCGGUGGAUACUGAAAAGCGAGAGUGCGGUAGAGGAGGGUGGAAUUCCCGGUGUAGCGGUGAAAUGCGUAGAGAUCGGGUGGAACAUCAGUGGCGAAGGCGGCCCUCUGGACCAGCACUGACGCUGAGGCACGAAAGCGUGGGGAGCAAACAGGAUUAGAUACCCCGGUAGUC